UGAGUACGAGACGCUAAGGCGUCGAAGUAGUGGAUGUCAUACUUCCAAGAAAAGCUUGCACUGUCAUAAAUAAAAACGCCUGUACCAUAACCGACACAGGUGGGUAGGUAGAGUAUACUAAGGGGCGCGAGAUAACUCUCUCUAAGAAACUCGGCAAAAUAACUCCGUAACUUCGGGAGAAGGAGUGCCUUAUUCGUAAGGCUGCAAUAACAAGAUCCAAGCAACUGUUUAUCAAAAACACAGGUCUCCGCUAAGUCGUAAGACGAUGUAUGGGGGCUGACGCCUGCCCAGUGCCAGAAGGUUAAAGAAGUCGGUUAGCAUUAGCGAAGCUGGUAACUGAAGCCCUGGUGAACGGCGGCCGUAACGAUAACGGUCCUAAGGUAGCGAAAUUCCUUGUCGGGUAAGCUCCGACCCGCACGAAAGGCGUAAUGAUUUGGAUACUGUCUCGGAGAGGGGCUCGGUGAAAUAGACUUGUCUGUGAAGAUGCGGACUACCUGCACCAGGACAGAAAGACCCUAUGAAGCUUUACUGUAACUUGAAGUUGAAAUUGGACUUUAUUCGCGCAGUAUAGGUGGGAGGUGUUGAUUAUAAUCUUGCGGGAUUAUUGGAGCCAUCAGUGAGAUACCACCCUUGUAAUGUUAGAUUUCUAACUUUGAAUCAUUAUCUGGUCAAAGAACAGUUUCAGGCGGGCAGUUUGACUGGGGCGGUCGCCUCCUAAAUGGUAACGGAGGCGUACAAAGGUUUCCUCUGAACGGGUAGAAAUCGUAUCUAGAGUGUAAAGGCAUAAGGAAGCUUGACUGUGAGACCUACAAGUCGAGCAGGGACGAAAGUCGGUCUUAGUGAUCUGACGGUACUGAGUGGAAAGGCCGUCACUCAACGGAUAAAAGUUACUCUAAGGAUAACAGGCUGAUCUCCCCCAAGAGUUCACAUCGACGGGGAGGUUUGGCACCUCGAUGUCGGCUCAUCGCAUCCUGGGGCGGUAGUACGUCCCAAGGGUUGGGCUGUUCGCCCAUGAAAGCGGUACGCGAGCUGGGUUCAGAACGUCGUGGGACAGUUCGGUCCAUAUCCGGUGUAGGCGUUAGAAUAUUGAGAGGAGCCUUCUUUAGUACGAGAGGACCGAGAAGGACAUACCUCUGGUGUACCAGUUAUCGUGCCAACGGUAAACGCUGGGUAGCUAUGUAUGGAGUGGAUAACCGCUGAAAGCAUCUAAGUGGGAAGCCCACCUCAAGAUAAGUAUUCUCAUC
rnacentral:rRNA from 1 species